UGGGUUUCAUCUGAAAUGGUGGCGAUCCAGGACGUGGUGACCAACGUGAUUGACCGAGUAAUUAAUCUACCGAGCAACCCAAGGUAACCAGUGACUGAGGAGCUUGCUGCUUGGGGAUGUGUAGUGUUCGUCUACCCCUGUGUUGGGUGCUAAAUAAACAUGAACCAUGAACCUUGUUUAAGACUGUUUUAUUUACGCUUCCGCUACUUA
rnacentral:lncRNA from 1 species